GGAUCCAGACUUUGAUCAUGGCUCAGGAUGAACGCUAGCUACAGGCUUAACACAUGCAAGUCGAGGGGCAGCAUGGUCUUAGCUUGCUAAGGCCGAUGGCGACCGGCGCACGGGUGAGUAACACGUAUCCAACCUGCCGUCUACUCUUGGACAGCCUUCUGAAAGGAAGAUUAAUACAAGAUGGCAUCAUGAGUCCGCAUGUUCACAUGAUUAAAGGUAUUCCGGUAGACGAUGGGGAUGCGUUCCAUUAGAUAGUAGGCGGGGUAACGGCCCACCUAGUCUUCGAUGGAUAGGGGUUCUGAGAGGAAGGUCCCCCACAUUGGAACUGAGACACGGUCCAAACUCCUACGGGAGGCAGCAGUGAGGAAUAUUGGUCAAUGGGCGAGAGCCUGAACCAGCCAAGUAGCGUGAAGGAUGACUGCCCUAUGGGUUGUAAACUUCUUUUAUAAAGGAAUAAAGUCGGGUAUGCAUACCCGUUUGCAUGUACUUUAUGAAUAAGGAUCGGCUAACUCCGUGCCAGCAGCCGCGGUAAUACGGAGGAUCCGAGCGUUAUCCGGAUUUAUUGGGUUUAAAGGGAGCGUAGAUGGAUGUUUAAGUCAGUUGUGAAAGUUUGCGGCUCAACCGUAAAAUUGCAGUUGAUACUGGAUAUCUUGAGUGCAGUUGAGGCAGGCGGAAUUCGUGGUGUAGCGGUGAAAUGCUUAGAUAUCACGAAGAACUCCGAUUGCGAAGGCAGCCUGCUAAGCUGCAACUGACAUUGAGGCUCGAAAGUGUGGGUAUCAAACAGGAUUAGAUACCCUGGUAGUCCACACGGUAAACGAUGAAUACUCGCUGUUUGCGAUAUACGGCAAGCGGCCAAGCGAAAGC
rnacentral:rRNA from 1 species